AUGGCCUCAGAAGGCCCUCAUGGCAGAGGCCCCAGCAGGACUAACCGUCUUGGGGAGGCGAGCACCCCCCUGAGCGUGCCUCACUUCUGGCCAGGUUAUUACUGCGACUCCAGUGCUGGGCCCGUCCAGGACUUCAGCCUGUACCCUUGUCCUCAAGGCUAUUACUGCCCCCUGGGCACAGCUGUGGCCACACACCACAGCUGCCCAGUGGGCACUUACGGCCCUCGGAAGGGGCUGAGGAGCAUCACUGAGUGCCUGCUGUGCCCCGCUGGGAAGUUCUGUGCGCUGGCAGGGCUCGCAGCGCCCACAGGAGACUGUGCUGCAGGGCACUGGUGCAAGGGAGGAGCCACCAGCAAGGACCCCGCUGAUGGGGCACGAGGCCUCCUCUGCCCUGCUGGGCACUACUGCCUCGAGGGAGCUUCAGUCCCAGCCAGAUGCCCACCUGGUACCUGGUCUGAGGAAGGGAACCAAACCCCAGAAGGAUGUCAAGAUUGCUAUGGAGGACGACUCUGCUCUGGCAGCCACCCAUCAAUCUGGCCAGCACCCGGCCACCCAGGCAUUUCCUGCACUGAGGGAACUGUCUCUGCCACCACCAUGGAAGGGGUCUCUGGGAGAUCCUGCCCCCCAGGGCCCUUCAGCCCUCUGGGCAUGGCUGAGCCCACUCCAUGUCCUCCUGGCUCCUACACCUCCAGUACCCGCACAACGAAAUGUCACAUCUGUCCCAGUGGCCGCUACUGUGUUCCAGGGCUGAGGCCACAGCUGUGUCCAAGAGGUUAG
rnacentral:lncRNA from 1 species